GUUAUUGUUUAAAACUAUUUUAAUGCAUUAGUCUAAACUAUUUUGUUGUUUUAUUAUAAAUAAAAAUAUUUGAUGUAAACUUUUAAAAUAAAAUUAUCUUAAUUUGUGGAUAAUGUUAUAAUAGCCUUGCAUGACAAAUAUAUAGAAACAGAAGAAAACGUCAAUGAAAUAAGUAUAUGUGGAAUAUCUGAAACACAUAUAGAAAAUGAAAUUAUUAAUAUUGAUAAUGAAUGUAUAUUUGUAAAAAAUAAAACGCAAGAUAUUAAACGCAAAGACAUUGAAAUUGUAAAUAAAGUUAUGGAGGACAAACUAACGCAAACAGAAUUGAAGUUAUCUUAUUGUAGUCCAAGAAAAAAAAUUAAGAUGUCAAAACAUUUAUCUUCGUAACAAAAAAUUAAAAGAUUACAAAAAAAAAUUACAGUGUUAUAAAAAUGGAAUAAAAAAUAAAAUUACAUUUAACAAAUGGUAUUCGCAUUGUAAUAAAUUUCUUCCUCCAAAAGUAACUAAUUUUGUCAAGACUCAAGCAGAACUUCACAGACAAUCUGCAAAAGGUAAAAAAUAUUCAAUGGAAUUUAAACAAUUUUGUUUAAAACUCUAUUUCUCUGGACCGAAAAGCUAUAAAUUAUUAACCAGUCAAUUUUGCUUACCUACUCCAAGAACACUCCAACGAACAAUACAAAAUCUACAAAUUUUACCAGGAUUACAUGAUUAUAUUUUUAACAUAAUAAAAAAUAAAAUAGACAA